UAAUGACUCUUUGUGGUUAGUUGUUUUUUUGACUGAAUUAUGAAUGUAAUCCUAUAAUUUAUAUUUUUUAAAAUACAUAGGCUAAAAUGUAGUAAUAUUAUCGAAUUCAAUGAGCAGUCAUAACUUCAGUAGUAGAAUAAUUUCAUUCAUAGCUCCUGCAAUAGUUUAGAGCUCUAUGGUUGUACCCACUAGAAAGCGAAUAGAGCACUAGUUAUUAGAGGCGGUGGUUCUGUUGAUAUACAUGUAGGUAAACCAAGCAUAGUAGGUCGUGUGAAAUAAUGUGACAAAUAUUGGUGGCACAUGGGUGAGCAUGAAGAGUGGUAGCCUUAUAUCCUUGUCAUUUAGCCCAAAGACCCCAUCAAAAUAUAUGCUUGUACGUUUGGCCAACUUUGAGGGAACAUGGGGUGCCAUAGCUGGCUUACAAUACUUGCGCUAAAACACAAAAACAAAUUCUCAAUCUGAUCAUCUUUUUGUUGGGGUCCAUUUGCUACAUUGCCUACCCCUAAUCUAAUCUCCAUCUCUCCAUAUUGCUUUUCAAGAUUUGGAGGACAAUUUUUUAUUAGUGGUUGGUGGGGGAGGAGGGGGUGUUAGUUUUGGAAGCGGGAUUUAAGAGAGGUCAUAUAAAUGGGAUUUUACUUUUCCAGUUUUCACCAUAUAUAUCCAAUUUCCAUAUCCAAUAAUUUGAGAAAGAGAGAGAGAGAGAGAGAUGAGUGAUCACAUCAUAUGGGUCGGUGACCGACAAGUCUAGUGUCUUCAAAGCGUUGUAGCUUUGGUCAUUUGGUGGUUAGUAAACAUCAAAUAGGAGGCCGGAAAAUGAAGGGGGAUUGGCAAUAUGCUCACCAAUAUACACACAACUACACAAGCUGUCUUAGGAGGGGUCACAACAAGUAACCCUCGCUCCAAGAUAAGUCACAAAUCUCAUCUAAAGUGGC
rnacentral:lncRNA from 1 species